CUAAUAUGUGCAGAGAGGGGGUUUUGAACUAAAUUUUAUUUAGCGCAUGGAAUUGUGGUCGUGCGCGCUUUCUAUGCGCAGAACACAAAUUUUAAACUCGCUCGAGUCUUCGAAUUUUUAUCGAAUUUCUAAAGCUUUUUCAAGUCUAAUGUUACGCUUACAUUUGUUUUGGACUUUGGCCACUGUCAGUUCUAUAUUUUUAUAAAGUUUUGGUUUCUUAGUGUGAUAAAUCUGUGUAUAUAGUC